UACGUAGGGUGCAAGCGUUAAUCGGAAUUACUGGGCGUAAAGCGUGCGCAGGCGGCUUUGCAAGACAGAUGUGAAAUCCCCGGGCUUAACCUGGGAACUGCAUUUGUGACUGCAUGGCUGGAGUGCGGCAGAGGGGGAUGGAAUUCCGCGUGUAGCAGUGAAAUGCGUAGAUAUGCGGAGGAACACCGAUAGCGAAGGCAAUCCCCUGGGCCUGCACUGACGCUCAUGCACGAAAGCGUGGGGAGCAAACAGG
rnacentral:rRNA from 1 species